rnacentral:lncRNA from 1 species
CGUAUUCCGCGUUUGCGAAACGUUUGUUUUAAUUUUUUUUUUUUUUUUCCUUCCCACGUCAUCCCCGCACGAAAAUCGCGCCCUCCGCCGACCUCGGCGCAGAGAACCACGGAUGAAACUAGGAAAACGACGGUGCGAAAACAAAAGAAUAACGGAAUUGUUCGAGGCCACGUAAAGGCGAAAAUUAUUUUCGAAAUAAGAAAAGUUGGAGGAGGAGUUCGCGCGGCGUCACGGAAAGCAGCGUUUUACACGAGCCGGGCCAUAUUCAAUUUCUGAAUUAUGCGCAGACUUCGGCAGGGGUCAGGGGCAUUUUAGAGACGAUGGAAAUUCACCCCGAUCCGCACAGAGGAAUGCUAAAGAGCGCCCUCUUCAAUUUACAAAUUACGAUCUCCGACUAGAAGCUCCGAGCAACAGCAGCAGCAGCAGCAACAAAAUCAGCCCUCACUGGUGUACGGCGCGGUACAUAUAUCUAUACGACGUAACAAUUAAAAAGCAAUUACGAAACCGGCUCAAUGUAACGAAACAUUCCUAAUUCAGAAACUAUUAGAUGUACUAUAGAGUGGAAAGUGCAAAUUACGGAUUUCUUUUUCCGCCAUCUUUUUUUUUUUUUU